CGUACGCAAUCAACAAUGCGUUUGCAGGAGUGAGACCAACGCUGUAACCUGUUUUGAUAAAUGCUUGUGGAAGCUUUCAGAAGACCCGACCUCUCACUGUUCAACAAAAAAAUGCGGGUAGAGUUUCUGAUAUGCACGUUUUCCCCAGUCAGCUACCCACACUCUGAACUCUGCGCUUUAUACAAUAAUGUGAUUAAAUUAUAGGUUAAUUCGGGUUCACAUGCCGCCAAUAAGUUCAGCCUCGUCACAUCAGACCGAUGGAAUAGUCAAACGUGUCACAAUGAACCAAUGAAAUUGUUCACAUUAAAUAAAAUAAAAAAGUUCAUAUUAAAUCAAAAACACCCACACAAUCUUUCAGUCAGCCAUUUAGAGCGUUAUGUACUCUCCCUCAUCGAGACAUGACGAAAUGCAGACGGCGACCCCAGCGUGCAGGACGAAGACCGCACUUAACGACUUCUCCGUUAGGCUCCUGUAAAAAAAAAAAUUCACAUUAAAUCAAACACACUCACACAAUCUUCCAGUCAGCCAUUUAGAGCGUUAUGUACUCUCCCUCAUCAAGACAUGACGAAAUGCAGAUGGCGACCCCAGCGUGCAGGAGGAGGAAGAGCACACUCAACGACUUCUCCGUAGGUUCCUGUAAAAAAAAAUUGUUCACAAUGAAUCAAACACACUCACACAAUCUUUCAGUCAGCCAUUUAGAGCGUUAUGUACUCUCCCUCAUCAAGAGAUGACGAAAUGCAGAAGGCGACCCCAGCGUGCAGGAGGAGGAAGAGCAGGAUGAAGAUCGCACUCGACUUCUGCGGUAGGCUCCUGUAAAAAAAAAAAAAUUGUUCACAUUAAAUCAAACACACCCACACAAUCUUACAGUCAGCAGCCAUCUAGAGUGUUAUGUACUCUCCCUCAUCAAGAUAUGACGAAAUGCAGAAGGCGACCCCAGCGUGCAGGAGGAGGAAGAGCAAGACGAAGACCACGCUCAAUAACUCCUCCGUAGGCUCCUAGAUGACAAAAUGCAGAAGGCGACCCCAGCGUGCAGGAGGAGGAAGAGCAAGACGAAGGCCGCACUCAACGACUUCUCUGACAUGACGAAAUGCAGAAGGUG